rnacentral:rRNA from 1 species
AGGGAAUAUUGCACAAUGGGCGAAAGCCUGAUGCAGCGACGCCGCGUGCGGGAUGAAGGCCUUCGGGUUGUAAACCGCUUUCAGGAGGGAAGAAAUGACGGUACCUCCAGAAGAAGCUCCGGCCAACUACGUG